rnacentral:lncRNA from 1 species
GAGACAGGGAUACUGGAGUGAUGGAGGUAGAUAUGUAUAGGGGGAAGGAGACAGGGAUACUGGAGUGAUGGAGGUAGAUAUGUAUAGGGGGAAGGAGACAGGGAUACUGGAGUGAUGGAGGUAGAUAUGUAUAGGGGGAAGGAGACAGGGAUACUGGAGUGAUGGAGGUAGAUAUGUAUAGGGGGAAGGGAACAGGGAUACUGGAGUGAUGGAGGUAGAUAUGUAUAGGGGGAAGGGGACAGGGAUACUGGAGUGAUGGAGGUAGAUAUGUAUAGGGGGAAGGGGACAGGGAUACUGGAGUGAUGGAGGUAGAUAUGUAUAGGGGACAGGGAUACUGGAGUGAUGGAGGUAGAUAUGUAUAGGGGACAGGGAUACUGGAGUGAUGGAGGUAGAUAUGUAUAGGGGGAAGGAGACAGGGAUACUGGAGUGAUGGAGGUAGAUAUGUAUAGGGGGAAGGGAACAGGGAUACUGGAGUGAUGGAGGUAGAUAUGUAUAGGGGACAGGGAUACUGGAGUGAUGGAGGUAGAUAUGUAUAGGGGGAAGGAGACAGGGAUACUGGAG